rnacentral:lncRNA from 1 species
AGAGAUUAAUACUUUCAUUCAUGUAGUGUAUAAGGACAUCCAAAAUAGUUCAGGAAAUACAAAAUAAUGGAAUGUGUUCAUUGAGGAGAGGCUGUUGAAGAGUAAGAGAUUGGAGUGAAAUUUGUUUUAGCAAGCCAUUAGCUUGGAGGAAACCCUCUGUCCCUUGCUGUGCAUCAGGUAAACCAUUUCACCAAAACAUUUUGUAAAGGUGAAGGUGAUGAUGAAAUUUCUUCUCCCUCUGCCCAUUUUACAGCGUCAUCAGGACUCAAGAUGUUUGCUAUAGUUUAUUCACCAAUAGAGCACUUUUGCUAUGUUUUGGCAUCCAUUGUCCUUUUCUCUUGUUAUAGUGCCUCAAUUCUUGUUUGGCUUUCUAUUUCUCCACCGUGAAAUUCUAGUGUUCCAAUGCAAACUGACUUCACCUCCAGUCGAAGAAUGAUAAAUUAUUAGCUUAUGCCAAUCAAUACAUUUCAUACAUCCCAUCUCAGAGGCCACAGUGAUUGAUUCAGGAUGGGCAUGUGACCCAAUUUUCCCAGGAAAUGUCAGAGUUCUUGCUUCUAGGUAAGAACCUCCUCUGGCUUCCAUGGAAGCACUUAAAGAAAACCUCUCAUUCUGGGUGAUGUGCAGUGUGGCUGUGAGGCCAAGUUUAUUGCAAUCACCAUACUAUCAUGAAGAAUGAAGUCCCUGGAGGGAGGAAAGAUAUAGAAAAUCGCAGAAAAACAUGACCAGAAUUUUUAUCAAUACAUGUUUAAAUCAUACCUUGCCUCUGAAAUUUUCAGUUACACGAACCAAUAAAUCCCCAU